rnacentral:rRNA from 1 species
UACGUAGGGUGCGAGCGUUGUCCGGAAUUACUGGGCGUAAAGAGCUCGUAGGUGGUUUGUCGCGUUGUUCGUGAAAAACUCACAGCUCAACUGUGGGCGUGCGGGCGAUACGGGCAGACUAGAGUACUGCAGGGGAGACUGGAAUUCCUGGUGUAGCGGUGGAAUGCGCAGAUAUCAGGAGGAACACCGGUGGCGAAGGCGGGUCUCUGGGCAGUAACUGACGUGGAGGAGCG